ensembl:lncRNA
AAAAAUGUACUACAUGUCAGAAAGGUUCUUGCCUGUGUUAGAAGAGCACAGAAUUGCAGAAGAUGGUCCCCCUGUAACCCGUAGUAAUUGGAGCCCACAGCAGUAUUUCCAGCAGUACAUUGACAAUGAACUAAUUCAGGACCUGUCCUUCAUCAACCAACGUAUGGUACAGGAUUCAGGCUUAAGCACAACACCAGAAGAAAUCAAGACCUUUUUAGGAAUCUCGAAAAUAUGGUGCGAUCCACUUGCCUGAAAUGGUUGCCAGUCCAAAUCCUUCCAGAUGCAGAAUGCCUGGGUGCACUAGUAGAACCUAUGUGAGAUGUGUUAAAUGUGACAUGUUCCUAUGUGUCUCCAAAAAGUCACAGUGCUUCCUCACAUAUCACAAAUGAAUUGGUAUUUGUGAACUGGCAAACCAAAUGUUCAUCAUAGGGCUAUGGCCAGUGAAAAGUUGAAUGAGUUGUAUGUGUAUUUGACCCUGACUGAGUUGUAUCCUAUGUUUUUGUGAAGUUUUUAUGCAGUUUGUGUGUGUUGUGUUGAUAUCCAGGCAGAUUUUUAAUUCUGUUGAUGUUUUAGGGUCGGGAUGAAUUAAGUCCCGUUGUACACUACAGUUCACAUUAUAAAACAUUAAUGAAAUUAUGAAAAAAUCUAAAAUCUUUGCAAUGUGUUUUUUUACCACCCCAACACAUCCUUUAUAUAAAAAAAAUCUAAACACCUUUCCCCCCCCCCAGGUCUCAGGAGGAUAUAGGUGGUGCAUUGUGGGAUUGUUGACGGUGAUGUACGCUGUCUGCUGUUACCUAACUGCCAACAUUUUUCGAAUUUACUCUUGUUGAGAUAAAUGAAGUUUAAAUAAUGCUGAUUUAAUAACCAUGUAUUCUUAUGUUUUUGUUUUAUUAAAUUGUAUGCUGCAGCCAGGUUAGGGAAAUAUGAAUACACAGAUUGAAUACAAUAACCAUAAAAAGUUUAGAACUCCAUACAUUACACUCAGACUUUACACCUGGCUGAGAUAGAGAGACAGGAUUAAAACCCCACAAUUAACAUACAAAUGAAACUGCCUCCUAUACAGCACAAAGAGACCUUCUGUCUCCAGCCCCCUGAUGUUCUAGUCUAGGUUAGGACAAUAAAAUGUAAAUUACUGUAACCUGGUUAAGAUUUCACACCUGUAUGCAAAUAACCUGUUGAUCUAUGACUGAGAGUAAGAGCAUGCUCUUCUUCAUGGUACAGCGAAAACAAAGAGAUUCGUCCAACAUGUCACCAUGCCAACAAAGAACCAAUAAGGAAGGGUUUUACUCACGAGAGUGAAAAGUAACCGCCCCUGUGGCGGGAGUAUUAAAAACAAUGUUCGAUCUUGAUUCGGGGCGAAUAUUUUGUGGAAGCUCGAGGGUUGAGCAAAAUAUUUGACCGCUGC